UCCUACGGGAGGCAGCAGUGGGGAAUAUUGGGCAAUGGGCGCAAGCCUGACCCAGCGACGCCGCGUGAGGGAAGACGGUCUUCGGAUUGUAAACCUCUUUCAGCAGGGAAGACAAAAGGACGGUGCCUGCAGAAGAAGCCACGGCUAACUACGUGCCAGCAGCCGCGGUAAUACGUAGGUGGCAAGCGUUAUCCGGAAUUACUGGGUGUAAAGGGAGCGCAGGCGGGACUGCAAGUUGGAUGUGAAAUACCGCAGCUUAACUGCGGAGCUGCAUCCAAAACUGUAGUUCUUGAGUGGAGUAGGGG
rnacentral:rRNA from 1 species